CCUAAAGGCGUAAUGAAAGUAAAAGUUGACCUUGCGUUAACUGAGGGAGGAUGAGUUAUGUUACGAUGUAUCUCCGCACUCCCGGGGUGUCUCGUUCUUAUUACAAGGAGAGGCGCACCCAGAGCGUACACGUUGGGACCCGAAAGAUGGUGAACUAUGCCUGGUCAGGACGAAGUCAGGGGAAACCCUGAUGGAGGUCCGUAGCGAUUCUGACGUGCAAAUCGAUCGUCGGAACUGGGUAUAGGGGCGAAAGACUAAUCGAACCAUCUAGUAGCUGGUUCCCUCCGAAGUUUCCCUCAGGAUAGCUGGCACUCGCGAGUUCUAUGAACUUUUACGAGUCUCAUCUGGUAAAGCGAAUGAUUAGAGGCCUUGGGGCCGAAACGACCUCAACCUAUUCUCAAACUUUAAAUGGGUGAGAUCUCUGGCUUGCUUGAAUAUAUUAAUAUGAAGCCAUGAGAUAUCGGAUCAGAGUGCCAAGUGG
rnacentral:rRNA from 1 species